AUUGAACGCUGGCGGCAGGCCUAACACAUGCAAGUCGAACGAGUGGCGGACGGGUGAGUAAUGUCUGGGAAACUGCCUGAUGGAGGGGGCAGACUACUGGAAACGGUAGCUAAUACCGCAUACCAUCGGAUGUGCCCAGAUGGGAUUAGCUAGUAGGGGGGGUAAAGGCUCACCUAGGCGACGAUCCCUGGCUGGUCUGAGAGGAUGACAAGCCACACUGGAACUGAGACACGGUCCAGACUCCUACGGGAGGCAGCAGGGGGGAAUAUUGCACAAUGGGCGCAAGCCUGAUGCAGCCAUGCCGCGUGUAUGAAGAAGGCCUUAGGGUUGUAAAGUACUUUCAGCGGGGAGGCGUUACCCGCAGAAGAAGCACCGGCUAACUCCGUGCCAGCCGCCGCGGUAAUUC
rnacentral:rRNA from 1 species